CGGGUCCCAGCGCCUGGUCCGCGGGAGGGCCCGCCCGCCCCCUGCCACCCGGCCCCCGGCCCCUCCGCGCACCCCUGUCCCGGGGACGGCCAGGCACACAGCCCUCCACCUCAGGUCCCCGGCCUCCGCACAAUUCAGAAGCCACCUCUGCGGAGGGGAGGGCCGUGCGAGGCCGUGCGCCCCCGCGGGCACCUGGGGGGAACGGCAGAAGACCAGCAAAUUCUUUUUUAACCUCUCAAGAUCCUUUCCACGAGUCCCCAGCCUGUCCCUGCUCUCCUCAUCUGCGGCUCUGGAAGCCCAGUGGAGGCCCAUGGAACCAAUGGGCACUCACGGGUGCCUGGGCGCAUGCCUCCCGGAUUCGAGGCUGGAGCUGCUUUCUCCCCGACCGGGUUUGAGAGCCUGUGUUCAUUUCACACUCCAGGGAGCAAGGAAAAGUACUCUGCCUGAAGGCCUGGCUUCCCGGGAGUUUCCAGAAACUGAUUUUCUAGAAAUUGCCCAAUGCCGCUAGAAUCUAUGCCAUUGUUUAAAACUGACUUCUGCCAAGGGAAAGGACGUGGAGUCAGAGAAUCGCAAAGAAUCCCUGGAUAGGACCUCAGAGAUCAAGUCCAACCUCCCUCCCUCUGAAUCCCGUAGGACAUGAUGCAAAGGCUGGUGGCAGAGGGAGAUGCUGAGAAGCAGAAGGAAUCAGGCUCGAGCAAAAAGGAGGGAAGAUAUGUGGUGUGGUGGACAGUGGGCAGAUGGUAAUGGCCUGAGCUGUGUGACCUCAGGCACGUUCUUAACCUCUCUGGGCCUCUGUGCUUUUAUCUGUAAGAUAAAAGAGUUCCUGCCUAGCAGGGUGGCUGUGAGAUCAAAGACACAUAUAUAGAGAAGAGAUGCUCCGGUAAGACUUCAGUAAGAUUCAGAUCAUUUCUAUGGCAUAAAAUGAACCACACUCAGAAGAAAAAUUGUCCCUCAACUUGGAAGAUUACCUAUAAUGUAAAAUAUUAAUGUGUUCUCUGGGA